CCUACGGGAGGCAGCAGUGAGGAAUAUUGGUCAAUGGACGCAAGUCUGAACCAGCCAUGCCGCGUGCAGGAAGACGGCUCUAUGAGUUGUAAACUGCUUUUGUACGAGGGUAAAUCCCGAUACGUGUAUCGUGUUGAAAGUAUCUUACGAAUAAGGAUCGGCUAACUCCGUGCGAGCAGCCGCGGUAAUACGGAGGAUUCAAGCGUUAUCCGGAUUUAUUGGGUUUAAAGGGUGCGUAGGCGGUUCGAUAAGUUAGAGGUGAAAUCCCGGGGCUCAACUCCGGCACUGCCUCUGAUACUGUCGGGCUAGAGUGUAGUUGCGGUAGGCGGAAUGUAUGGUGUAGCGGUGAAAUGCAUAGAGAUCAUACAGAACACCGAUUGCGAAGGCAGCUUACCAAACUACGACUGACGUUGAGGCACGAAAGCGUGGGGAGCAAACAGGAUUAGAUACCCGUGUAGUC
rnacentral:rRNA from 1 species